rnacentral:rRNA from 1 species
CCUACGGGUGGCAGCAGUGAGGAAUAUUUGUCAAUGGACGAGAGUCUGAACCAGCCAAGUAGCGUGAAGGAUGACUGCCCUAUGGGUUGUAAACUUCUUUUAUAUGGGAAUAAAAUGUUCCACGUGUGGGAUUUUGUAUGUACCAUAUGAAUAAGGAUCGGCUAACUCCGUGCCAGCAGCCGCGGUAAUACGGAGGAUCCGAGCGUUAUCCGGAUUUAUUGGGUUUAAAGGGAGCGUAGGUGGAUUGUUAAGUCAGUUGUGAAAGUUUGCGGCUCAACCGUAAAAUUGCAGUUGAAACUGGCAGUCUUGAGUACAGUAGAGGUGGGCGGAAUUCGUGGUGUAGCGGUGAAAUGCUUAGAUAUCACGAAGAACUCUGAUUGCGAAGGCAGUUCACUGGACUGCAACUGACACUGAGGCUCGAAAGUGUGGGUAUCAAACAGGAUUAGAUACCCCAGUAGUC